GAUGAACGCUGGCGGCGUGCUUAAUACAUGCAAGUCGAGCGAAGCACUUUAACGGAAUUCUCCGGAAGGAAGGUAAAGUGACUGAGCGGCGGACGGGUGAGUAACACGUGGGUAACCUGCCUAUAAGACUGGAAUAACUUCGGGAAACCGGAGCUAAUGCCGGAUAACAUUUGGAACCGCAUGGUUCUAAAGUAAAAGAUGGUUUUUGCUAUCACUUAUAGAUGGACCCGCGCCGUAUUAGCUAGUUGGCGGGGUAACGGCCCACCAAGGCGACGAUCAGUAGCCGGACUGAGAGAUUGACCGGCCACAUUGGGACUGAGAUACGGCCCAG
rnacentral:rRNA from 1 species